rnacentral:misc_RNA from 1 species
GCUACUACCGAUUGAAUGGUUUAGUGAGGACUCCUGAUUGGCGCCGCCGCCCCGGCAACGGAGCAGCGGACUGCCGUAAAGUUGUUCAAACUUGAUCAUUUAGAGGAAGUAAAAGUCGUAACAAGGUUUCCGUAGGUGAACCUGCAGAAGGACA